GGACACAUCUGGGCUUACCCUUAAGUAAGGGGCUAAAGCAUUUUAGCAUCUAGCAAUAACUGGUUUUGAGCACGUGGGCAAAUUUUGUACUUAGUUCCCAAAGGCCUAGAAGGGGGAUGUUCAAGGCUAGGGUUGCCAGACAGAAUACAGGACGUCCAGUUAAAAUUGAGUUUCAGAUAAACAACGAAAAAUUUUUUAGGAUAUGUAUGCAUAAGAUACACCUAUAUUAAAAAAUUACUCUAUUUCCUGAAAUUCAAAUUUAACCGAACAUCGUGUAUUUUUAUUCGCAAAAUCUAACCACCCUACCCAGGACACAGUAUCUCCUAAACCCGGGGCCCCUACAGCGUGAAACCCGGAAAUAACGAGAACAUCGGCCUCAACUCCUCCCCAUCACCAAAGGACUGGCGCCAUUUCCGGCCUUCACCUGCCAGCCUCGGGCUCCAGAGGUGAUGUCACCCUCUAGGCCUAUGGCCUGCGAGGAAGAUGGCUCCCGCGGGACGCCCGCUGGUGACAAGGGAUAAGGGCCCACUGUCAUCCCGACCGGCCGUCACCAGACCCCACGGCUCGCUUCCGGGGGCCACGCGGGCCCUCAUGGCGCAGACUCCUAGACCCGCGGCUUCCCGCGCCGGAGGCCGGAAGUGCUUGCGUGUGGCUGCCCGAAUCCGGAAGUGAGGGGGAGGUGCCGGGUGCUAGCUCCGGGGUGCAGGGGAAUCUAUUGUAACUGUUGGGCGUCGGCCCGGGUCGUUGUGGCCACCUGGGGCGCCCGCAUCCCGAUGGAGCUGAAGGCAGAGCGGCGGCUGGAGCAUUGGCUCCGCUCCGACCUAGAAGCCUCAGUUUCUUCAUCUCUACAAUGGGACUAACAAUGCUCGUCUCACUGGGGCCACCAGAUACAGCUCUGGCUCAGCAAGAGAGUUCUGUUCCUUGAUCCGCAAACCCACCGCAAGCUGCGUGAACACGAAUGCCCUUGGUCUCGCUAUCUCCUGCUCUCACCGUGUACGCACUGAGCCUGGCUUGAUGUCUUCCUAGAUUCAAAAGGCAAACCCGACCGGACUCCAAAACAGAGAAGAAUACACUGUUUAAUGAUGAGGAAUGAAUACCUGGAUGGAUGGAUGAAGAUGGCUUACUAUAAGCAAGAAAACACUAAGAAUUUUUAAGUACUUAUAAAUAAACAGUGGCGUUACAUCACACAUUAUACAACAGACUUCCUAAAAAUCUUUUGAAACAUGUUUCUUUCCACCCAGCUCCACCUGGGAGCUGCGGCAUCUCGGCAUCUCCGACGUUCUCCAGACCAUGAUCUUGUCAUGAACUACUCCCCUCUCUCACCCAGCCUCCUCCCCUUCCCAGCUCUGCCCCCCCCCUUGCGUUUUUCUUCCCCUUUAUAAUAAAGGGCAUUUUAUUUUC